rnacentral:rRNA from 1 species
UGGUGGAGCGAUUUGUCUGGUUAAUUCCGAUAACGAACGAGACUCUGGCCUAUUAAAUAGUUCGCCGAUUCCGAUCUGUCGGCGUUAACUUCUUAGAGGGACAAGUGGCUUUUAGCCACGCGAGAUUGAGCAAUAACA